ACCUGAUGGUGUGAGCAUUUACGAAGUAGGUCCUUGAAACGCUCCCAAGUCUCAAAGAAAAGUUCCGCAUCCUCUUGUGUGAAACUUGUGAUUACCCUUCGUAGCU